rnacentral:lncRNA from 1 species
GAACUGAGACUUGAAAAGCCAGUAGUUAGGCAAAGAUAGGGAGGGAAAUAUUUCAGACAAAGGGAGGAGAUGGCACAAGAUUUAGGACACGGAAAAGGGUAUGGUGCAGUCAUAGAGAAAACAGAUGUGCAGAAUGGCUGGAGCCCCAAGAGGGAAGGGAAGGGCGAAGCAAUGAAGAUGUGAGGCAAGCAGGACUGGACCAUGCAGAGUCUUGCAGGUGUUCACAAAGAAAAUUGCAGCACCCUCCCAUAGACUGAAAACACCUCUCUACCUGAACCCCUGGAAUUCUGACUCAGGAAUUGUGAGCAUAUCAGCAUCAAGUACCACUGGUGUGGCAAUGCACACUUCAACCUCUUCUUCAGUCACAAAGAGUUACAUCUCAUCACAGACAAAUGGGAUAACACUCAUUAAUUGGUGGGCGAUGGCUCGUGUUAUUUUUGAGGUGAUGCUUGUUGUUGUUGGAAUGAUCAUCUUAAUUUCUUACUGUAUUCGAUGACUGAUAAAGGUUUUCAUGCCUCUGGGAUUGAGAUUAGAGGAAGAAAGCAAAGAAAGGACAUUUUUUUACUUCACUGUUCAUGGUGUAAUUGUGUGCCUGACGGCUGUAGCUACUAACUUGGCUUACGUUGACUGGCUACUAAGGGACUCUAGGAGUCAGAAACUAAAUGCUGAGUCUCUCAAAGGCGUAGAGAGAAUUUCAGAGGGCCUUACCAUGACAUGAGGAUUAAACUCCAGUUCUGCCCGAUUCUCAUCACGAAAUCCUUAUCCCAUGCCUCAUUGUGUUUGGUGUCCCCUUGCCUAGGGGACAGUCCUCCUGGGUAAGAUCAGCAAGAUAACUCUUCAGUCACAUUCCAUUUGAUACUUUGAAUACUCUGAGGUCCUUACCCACCAAAUGGAUGGAAUUCAGCUGCUCAAUCACUGCCUUUCUCAGAACUCGGUUGUCCAACCACAAUUCCCUUUCCCUUAGGAUAGGGCUAUAUUGGCAAAAUGCCGCCCGAACAGACUGCUGACAGUAAACCAAAUAUUAGUUUCUCUCACCUUCUUGAAGGCAUUUACAGUCUUUGUAAGCUUUUCUCCUAGAUUUUCCCUUUCCUGUUCCUGCUUAGAUUCUAAGAAUGAAGUGCAUCCUUCUCCUUUUCUUCAUUAGGUGAAGUGGGAUUUACCCAUUACCAUAUAUUCACCACCAGGUCACUGACGAGAGACUCCAGUGAAUCGCUUUCCCUCUGCAUUCCUCUCCUUGUACAGACUAGAGGGUCACAUUGUGUAAAGCCUAACAUAGCCCUGCAAAGAGAUCUGGCCCCAGCAGUGAACACAAACUCAGUAAUUCUCUUUAGAGUGAGGUGGUAAUCAGUGCCUCUUGGUUUCAGCCGUGGUCCUAGUGGCUACUUAUGGAAGAAUAGGAAUAGUUCCACAACAUCCUGUAACAUUGGCUUACCUGUAUAUUAUAUGCCACCCGUAACCAUAAAAACACCAGGAUUUAGGUUCCUUGAAGGUAAUGACUAUGGGUCCCUCUCUGUGGAAGAAUACUGAAUAGAAGAGAGAAAUCACUCAAUAUGUGGAAUGACUGAUAUGGUUUGGCUGUGUUCCCACUCAAAUCUCAUCUUGAAUUGUAGUUCCAAUAAUCCCCACAUGUCAUGGGAGGAACCCAGUGGGAGGUACUUGAAUCAUUGCGGUGGUUUCCCCUGUGCUAUUCUCAUGAUAGUGAGUAAAUUCUCACAUAAUCUGAUAGUUUUAUAAAGGAGCUUCCCCCUUCACUCAGCUCUCAUUCUUCUCCUUCCUGCCACUAUGUAAGAAAGAUGUGUUUGUUUCCCCUUUGGUCAUGAUUGUAAGUAUCCUGAGACCUUCCCAGCCAUGCAAAACUGUAGAUCAAUAAAACCUCUUUCCUUUAUAAAUUACACAGUCUUGGGCAGUUUUUUAUAACAGCAUGAGAACAGACUAAUACAGUAAGUUGGUACUAGAGGUGGGGUGCUGCUAUAAGGAUACCUAAAAAUGCAGAAGUGACUUUGGAACUAGAUAACAGACAGCCUGUGAAAGCAGCCGAGGCGGGGGGGUUUACCAUGCAAAGCCACAGGAGCUGAGCUUCCCAAGACUGUGG